rnacentral:tRNA from 1 species
UCCCACGUUGUCUAGUGGUUAGGAUACCUGGCUCUCACCCCAGGAGGCCCGGGUUCGAUUCCCGGCGUGGGAA